CCUGAAGGAGUUUUCUAAUUGUUGUAACUUUUAUGUGUAAUAUCUAAUUUAGGUCAGAUAAAAAUAACAUGCAUUUUGUAUGAUCCCUCUUUAUCUUAGUAAAUUAACAUUUUGCAGAUACUGCAAACUGUAUAAUAUUUAAUUAUAAUAAAACUGCAAUAUGGAAUUUUUUACAAAACUAAGACAGCAUGGUGAGUCUCUGAAAAAAAAAAGUAUGCCAUACUUUUUGAAUGUUUUUGUCUUAAUUUCGAUCUCUACCAUUCUCAUUUCUCUUAAGUUCUGACACCAGGCCAUGUGGUUUGUUAUUUGUGACACUGACCACAAGUCAGGGAACAACUCAGAAGCCCAGUCGACUUGUUUUCACUGACGUGGCUGAUGCCAUUAAUGCAUGACCGCACUCUCAUGCUGCACAGGAAGAAAGAGACACAGAAAUCUGGACAUCUGGUCACCGGGAUUCAGGAAUAUUUGCAUUAAUAUUUGGUAUGAUAUUGGGUUAAUUGCUGCUUUUGUAGUUAUUAAUUUCUUAAACAAAAGAUCAGACCCCAAGUGUUAAAGCAAUAUUUCACUCCAAAAUGAAAAAUAAGCUGAAACUUGACUCACCCUCAGGCCAUCCAAGAUGUCCAGUUUGUUUUAUCAUGGGAAAAGAUUUGGAGAAAUGUAGCAUUGCAUCACUUGUACAUCAAUGGAUGCUCUGCAGUGAAUGGGUGCCGUCAGAAUGAGAGUCAAAACAGCUGAU